CACGAAGUCACAAUCGAUACAGAGCCUUUGCAAACAAAAGGAGAAAACCAAAAAGAAAAACUGCCACAACACAUCAAGAGGUUUCAGAUUUUUUUUUUUGUCUUUUUCCUCAUUUUUUCCUCUGCAACACCAAGUUUCUUGUGUCUUUGUUUUUCUUUUCUUCCAAUCUCCAACAAAGCGGCGUUAGCCACCCUCUUCUUUGUUUUGCUUUGACUUUUCUUCUUCUUUUUAUGACUGUAGCAAACCUCUUUUUUUUUUUUUGUUUAUUGUCAUACAUCAUGACAUGUAUAUUGGUUGUUUGCUAAGAAACCAACAGAUGGGGCAUUCAAUGCAUAGGCUGCUCCAACGUGGCCCUUCCCAAGUUCUGCUUCUUUUUUUUCUUUUUUUUUUUCUACACCCAUGUUUUCUUUUGGCUGGCACCAUUCUCUCCCUUUAACCCAGCAACACCCACGAAGCGCUCAGCCACUUUCUUUCCCCUUUUUUUUAGUGGCUGUUUUCCUGCUUUAAUUUUUUUCUGUCUGUUGUGAU
rnacentral:lncRNA from 1 species